rnacentral:rRNA from 1 species
AUGUCGCGGAUCGAUACAUCACUCUGGCCUGGGACGACGCUUCAGAACGACCUCGAGUCUCUGAUGGCUCGACUUAACGAAGUCCCAGGUCGAGUGGCGGAAUGGAAGAAAUCUUCUGCUAGAUGUGGUGCUGAUGUCGCUCUGUCUCUGGUCCGCGUCCACUGCAAGGAGGCGCGAGAAGAAAAGCUGGCGGCCAUCCAAGUUGCAAAUACCAGGAAGCACAGCUUUCAAGACUUCAUGGAGACUUUCAUCGCCGCUGCCACCCGUAUCGCCGACGGGAUCGACUUGGAUGAGUUCGUCGCCCCUUCCAGUCCUCCUCCUGAGGAGUGA